rnacentral:rRNA from 1 species
GAUCCGCUCAGGAUGAACGCUAGCUACAGGCUUAACACAUGCAAGUCGAGGGGCAGCAUGAACUUAGCUUGCUAAGUUUGAUGGCGACCGGCGCACGGGUGAGUAACACGUAUCCAACCUGCCGAUGACUCGGGGAUAGCCUUUCGAAAGAAAGAUUAAUACCCGAUGGCAUAAUUCUUCCGCAUGGUAGAACUAUUAAAGAAUUUCGGUCAUCGAUGGGGAUGCGUUCCAUUAGGUUGUUGGG